AUGCGGCAGCUCUCGUCGCUGCUGCAGGGGCUGGCCCGAUCGAUGGCUGGAAAAGAGAGGAAGGAGGAGGAUCCGCAGGGGACGGUGCUGCGGAUGUCGGGGACGCUGCGGGGCGAGGGCUCCGGGACCUUGGCCGCCGUGUGGUCUCGCCGCGGCGAGAAGGGCACCAACCAGGACUGCUCCGUCGUCUGGGAGGGAUUCGGAUGCCAGGAUGACACCGUCUUCUGCGGCAUCUUCGACGGCCACGGCCAGUGGGGCCACUACGUCUCCAAGGCCGUCCGGGACUCGCUGCCGUCGUCGCUGUUGUGCCGUUGGCAGGAGGCCGUCGCGCUGGCGUCGCUCAUCGACGGCGAGAAGAAGCUCGGCGACUGCCAGUUCGACCUCUGGAGGCAGUCCUACCUGGCGGCCGCCGCAGCCGUCGACGAAGAGCUCCGCCGCAGCCGCCGUCUCGACGCGGUCAACAGUGGCUCCACGGCGCUGUCGAUCGUCAAGAAGGGUAACAUGAUGGUGAUCGCGAACGUGGGCGACUCCCGAGCCGUCCUGGGGACCACGUCGGACGACGGCAGCAUCGCCGCCGUCCAGCUCACCGUCGACUUCAAACCCAACCUGCCUCAGGAGAAGGCGCGCAUCGUGCAGUGCAAGGGUCGCGUGCACUGCCACGAGGACGAGCCCGGCGUGCACCGGGUGUGGCUGCCCGACCGGGAGGCGCCGGGGCUGGCCAUGUCGCGCGCGUUCGGCGACUACUGCGUCAAGGACUACGGCGUGAUCUCGGCGCCGGAGGUGACGCAGAGGAAGAUCACCGCCCGGGACCAGUUCGUCAUCCUGGCCACCGACGGGGUAAGGGACAAAUUCUUGCUGUCAAUGGUAGUACCAUUUUUAUGCGCUCUACCGCAUCAUCUGAUGGACGUGGAAAAAUGGGGGCAGGUUUGGGACGUGGUCACCAACGAAGAGGCGGUGCAGAUCGUGGCUGACACGCCGGAGAGGGAGAAGGCGGCGAAGCGCCUGGUCCAGUGCGCCGUCCGCGCCUGGAGGCGCAAGCGGCGGGGCUACGCCGUCGACGACUGCUCGGCGAUCUGCCUCUUCCUCCACCACUCGCCGCUAUCGUAG
rnacentral:rRNA from 1 species